UGGUCACUCCUCUCAAGGAAAGCAUUGCCAUAUCUUGGAAUAUACCUGUCACCUGACUUCCUCCUGUAGUCUCUCCUCUGUCAUAUUCUCUACUUGCCACAUAAAAGCAGGACUUCUUCAAAAGUAAAUCAAGUCACACCAAACACUCCAGUCCCUACCACAGCCUGUCUGAAAGGCUUUAACUGACCAGGCCUGCACCUUCAGCCUUAGCACUAACCAUAGCAUGUUGCUGGGUUUAAGAGACAAGAGAAGAGAAGUAGGCAUGACUUGCCAACAACAGAGCUGCCAUAGGGCAUGUUGCCUUCCACUUUGGGAUCUUCUAAAUUAUCUUUAAAACUCAGAGAACAUUGCAUUCUACACCUCAAUGUAUUUGUUUGCUUAAAUAUAAAAAUGGCACUACAAUAAAUUUCUUGAUUCGGAA